rnacentral:lncRNA from 1 species
UACUAUUUCACGAGAAAAGCCAGUUCUAGAGAGCGGAAGUAACAUUUGGCGUUGGGAAUCAUUGCUGAUGAUUGCUAUGUGAACCACCUCCUCCUGUGGGACCCACCCAUAUCCAGAGCGAUACAAAGAUGAAUAAGAACGUUACAAAGAGUUACGGUGCCUGGAACAAAUAUUUGGCAUGAAACUCAACAUUCUGGCCAAACGAAGCUAUACAAUAAUGACCAGAGUAAGAGCGAUGAUGACAUCAGUGGUGGCUACCUUUACUGAAGCAUUAUCUUGUGCCAAGCAGAGUUUUACGCACUUCCCAGGUGUUAACUUGUUGAAAUCUCUCACACACCUUAUGAUUUUACAAGCCAAGAAGCUACGAUACAGCGAGGUGAGGUCGUUCACCCGCCGGCCCAGGCUUUUCUUCCGUCUGGGUGUUCUUCCUCAAACCCGUUUUCUAAAGGGCUUCAGUUCCCAGAGAAGCGUUUGUCGGCACCAGGGCGAUGCCAGAGGAAAUUCCCAGGAGCAGAGUCUCGUGAAUGCUUUUAGAUGUAGCGGGCAAAAUAGCAACGCUCUAGAUGGUUCUCUCCUAAUUACAUUGCUCUCGUUGGAAUUUACUUGCGCUUGGGUCAGUGAUCAUUUUUGAUUCUUUUGGAGAAAAAUAGAAUCAGUUCUCAGCUGCCCUGUUUCACCCAUGCGCUGGUCCAGCUUGCAUCCUAUUUAAACCUCCUGGCUUCGCGUGGAGGUGUCCCUUGAGGAAAUGCUUUUGCAUUUAGGAAACACUGGGAGCCCACUGGCCACUUUUCCCAGCAAGGUAUUUGUAGAAGCCGGCCAAAACUCUCUUUCCUGGAAGAAAGAGGAUUUGCCACGUACCGAAAUGAGAAUCCAACGUGCAAACAAUUUAAAAAAUACAUCGAUGCACAAAUCAUGUUGGGGAUGAUUUUAAAAUUAACUCCUUCCCCAUUCCUCAUUUUUAUUAGAAUAACCCUGCGUAAGCUUUCCCUUCGUUAUGGUUACCGUUACCACUUUGGGUUAUAAAAUGCCCUCUGAGGGGAGUCUUAACAACGUCCGAGGAAAGUCACGAAACGCAAUCUGGUGAGAGCCAGCCCGGGGCUGGGAACGGUUGCCCGUGGGAUCCGUCAUGCUUUGAACAAAAUAUUGUUCCUGUGUUUUCUCCUCGCGUUUCUAUUAUACUUUUUGAGCAUGUUGUCAUUGGAAAGCAAGGGAAGCUGUGAAAUAGUUUAAAUACUGUCUGAUGUUCACAGAAAAAUUUGCUGCUUUCAGAUUAUCCUGGAGCAAGGGGAAUCUCUUUUCCUGAGUUUUAGGAUUCUGGGUGUGCCUGGGAACCCGAGCACGGCCACGGGAGCCUAUAAUUAAAAUAAUAAUAAAGGCAGUUGGAAUCUUCCA